GACCGCGUAGCUCAGUUGGCAGAGCAUUGAGCUAUAUCCAAAGGUCGUGGGUUUGAUUCCCACCGUGGCCG
rnacentral:tRNA from 1 species